GACGAACGCUGGCGGCGUGCUUAGCACAUGCAAGUCGAACGGAAAGGCCCUGCUUUUGUGGGGUGCUCGAGUGGCGAACGGGUGAGUAACACGUGAGUAACCUGCCCUUGACUUUGGGAUAACUUCAGGAAACUGGGGCUAAUACCGGAUAGGAGCUCCUGCUGCAUGGUGGGGGUUGGAAAGUUUCGGCGGUUGGGGAUGGACUCGCGGCUUAUCAGCUUGUUGGUGGGGUAGUGGCUUACCAAGGCUUUGACGGGUAGCCGGCCUGAGAGGGUGACCGGCCACAUUGGGACUGAGAUACGGCCCAGACUCCUACGGGAGGCAGCAGUGGGGAAUAUUGCACAAUGGGCGGAAGCCUGAUGCAGCAACGCCGCGUGCGGGAUGACGGCCUUCGGGUUGUAACCGCUUUCGCCUGUGACGAAGCGUGAGUGACGGUAAUGGGUAAAGAAGCACCGGCUAACUACGUG
rnacentral:rRNA from 1 species